UAAAUCCUACGGGGGGCAGCAGUGGGGAAUAUUGCACAAUGGGGGAAACCCUGAUGCAGCGACGCCGCGUGAGUGAAGAAGUAUUUCGGUAUGUAAAGCUCUAUCAGCAGGGAAGAAAAUGACGGUACCUGACUAAGAAGCCCCGGCUAACUACGUGCCAGCAGCCGCGGUAAUACGUAGGGGGCAAGCGUUAUCCGGAUUUACUGGGUGUAAAGGGAGCGUAGGUGGCAUGGUAAGCCAGAAGUGAAAACCCA
rnacentral:rRNA from 1 species